AAGCUCAAAUUUGAAAUCUAGCACCUUCGGUGUUCGAGUUGUAAUUUGAAGAUGGUAACCUUGGGUUUGGCUCUUGUCUAUGUUCCUUGGAACAGGACGUCAUAGAGGGUGAGAAUCCCGUCUGAUGAGAUGCCCAUUCCUAUGUAAGGUGCUAUCGAAGAGUCGAGUUGUUUGGGAAUGCAGCUCUAAGUGGGUGGUAAAUUCCAUCUAAAGCUAAAUAUUGGCGAGAGACCGAUAGCGAACAAGUACAGUGAUGGAAAGAUGAAAAGAACUUUGAAAAGAGAGUGAAAAAGUACGUGAAAUUGUUGAAAGGGAAGGGCAUUAGAUCAGACUUGGUGUUUUACGAUUAUCUUCUCUUCUUGAGCUGUGCACUCGUAUUUCACUGGGCCAGCAUCGAUUCGGAUGGCAAGAUAAUGGCAGUUGAAUGUGGCUUCACUUCGGUGGAGUGUUAUAGCUUCUGCUGAUAUUGCCUGUCUGGAUCGAGGGCUGCGUCUUUUGACUAGGAUGCUGGCGUAAUGAUCUAAUGCCGCCCGUC
rnacentral:rRNA from 1 species